rnacentral:rRNA from 1 species
UACGGAGGGUGCGAGCGUUGUCCGGAAUCAUUGGGCGUAAAGGGCGCGUAGGUGGCCCCUCAAGCGUGCGGUGAAAGUCCGGGGCUCAACCUCGGAUCGGCCGUGGCGACUCGUGGGCUGGAGCACUGUAGAGGCGGGUGGAAUUCCGGGUGUAGCGGUGGAAUGCGUAGAUAUCAGGAGGAACACCGGUGGUGUAAACGGCUUUCUGGACCAUAACUGACGCUGAGGCACGAAAGCGUGGGUAGCAAACAGG